CUUAUUGCUAGAACUAGAAGGUGAAAUGUAGAGGGAUACUGAUGGAGUAUGUAUAUUAUUAGUUAAUAUUCAGGAAAAUGUGACACAUUAUGACACCAGUACAGUUGUACCGAUUUUUGUUGAGGAAUAUCCGGAAGCUUCCUAAAGAAAGUCAAGGACAUUACAAACAUUACGUACGGCAGAACUUUAACAGUCACUCAGAUGAGACCGACCCCGAGAGAAUCAGACAAAUCGUGGAGCAGGCGCAGCGAGACAUGGCCUGGCUACUGGAAAAGUACAAAGCCAAGUAGAUGACCAAUAGAAGCUGUAUCAAAUGUUACUUCCCUGAAUAAAAAAUUAAAUUAA